rnacentral:rRNA from 1 species
AGUGGCAAACGGGUUGAGUAACACGUGGGUAUCUGCCUUUAAGCGGGGGAUAACUCAGGGAAACUUGAGCUAAUACCGCAUGUGGCAGUAAUGUUAAAGGUGGCCUCUAUUUAUAAGCUACCGCUUAAAGAUGAGCCUGCGUACUAUUAGCUUGUUGGUGGGGUAAUGGCUCACCAAGGCAAUGAUAGUUAGGCGGCCUUAACGGGUGGUCGCCCACACUGGGAUUGAGAUACGGCCCAGACUCCUACGGGAGGCAGCAGUCGAGAAUAGUCUACAAUGGACGAAAGUCUGAUAGUGCAAUUCCGCGUGGAUGAAGAAGCAUUUCGGUGUGUAAAAUCCUUUUCUUUGUGAGCAAAGAUUUGAAGGUGAAUAAUUUUUAAAUUAAGAUAUUAGCAAAGGAAUAAGCCUCGGCUAACUCCGUGCCAGCAGCCGCGGUAAUACGGGGGAGGCAAGCGUUGUCCGGAAUCACUAGGCGUAAAGGGCAAGUAGGCGGAUUGGUAAGUUACGGGUUAAAUCUGGAGGCUCAACCUCCAGCCAGCUUGCGAUACUGCCCAUCUAGAGUCAGACAGGGGAAGACGGAAUUCCCGGUGUAGCGGUGGAAUGCGCAGAUAUCGGGAGGAAUACCGAAGGCGAAGGCAGUCUUCUAGGCCGUAAUUGACGCUUAACUGCGAAGGUGUGGGGAUCAAACAGGAUUAGAUACCCUGGUAGUCCACACAGUAAACGAUAAUCACUAGAUGUCGGGUUCUAGAUGGAUUCGGUGUCGGAGCUAACGCGAUAAGUGAUUCGCCUGGGGAGUACGAUCGCAAGGUUGAGACUCGAAGGAAUUGACGGGGGCCCGCACAAGCGGUGGAGCAUGUGGUUUAAUUCGAGGCAACGCGAAGAACCUUACCCGGUUUUGACAUCCACGGGAGGCUUCAGAGAUGGAGCUGUGCCGGCGUAAGCUGGAGCCGUGAGACAGGUGCUGCAUGGCUGUCGUCAGCUCGUGUCGUGAGAUGUUGGGUUAAGUCCCGCAACGAGCGCAACCCUUGCCUUCAGUUACCAUCAUUAAGUUGGGGACUCUGGAGGGACCGCUGCGGUAACAACGCAGAGGAAGAUGGGGACGACGUCAAGUCAUCAUGGUCCUUAUGGCCGGGGCUACACACGUGCCACAAUGGUAGUUACAGAGGGAUGCGAAGCAGUGAUGUGGAGCGAAUCUCAGAAAAGCUACCACAGUUCGGAUUGAGGUCUGCAACUCGACCUCAUGAAGCAGGUAUCGCUAGUAAUCGCGCAACAUCAUGGCGCGGUGAAUACGUUCCCGGGCC